rnacentral:rRNA from 1 species
CUUUGUGAUAUGCUCUCAAAGAGUCGAGUUGUUUGGGAAUGCAGCUCAAAAUGGGUGGUAAAUUCCAUCUAAAGCUAAAUAUUGGCGAGAGACCGAUAGCGAACAAGUACCGUGAGGGAAAGAUGAAAAGCACUUUGGAAAGAGAGUUAAACAGUACGUGAAAUUGUUGAAAGGGAAACGCUUGAAGUCAGUCGCGUUGUCCGGGACUCAGCCUUGCUAUUUGCUUGGUGUACUUCCUGGUUGACGGGUCAACAUCAAUUUUGGUUGGUGGAUAAAGGCCGAGAGAAGGUGGCAUCUUCGGAUGUGUUAUAGCUCUUGGUUGUAUACGCUGGCUGGGAUUGAGGUCUGCAGCACGCCUUUUUGGCCGGGGUUCGCCCACGUAACGUGCUUAGGAUGUUGGCAUAAUGGCUUUAAGCGACCCGUCUUGAAACACGGACCAAGGAGUCUAACAUGCCUGCGAGUAUUAGAGUGGAAAACUCUUGUGCGAAAUGAAAGUGAAAGUUGGGACUCUUCGCGGAGGCACCAACGCCCGGCCCUGAAGUUUACUGACGGUGCUGCGGUAGAGCAUGUAUGUUGGGACCCGAAAGAUGGUGAACUAUGCCUGAAUAGGGUGAAGCCAGGGGAAACUCUGGUGGAGGCUCGUAGCGAUUCUGACGUGCAAAUCGAUCGUCAAAUUUGGGUAUAGGGGCGAAAGACUAAUC